rnacentral:lncRNA from 1 species
AAAAAAGAGAACGUGGGAAGGUAAAGGGUUAAUACAUAUCUGAUCCCUUCACCCAAUAACCAUGGAAGAGGCCUCUAGAAAUCCCCCACUGCCCAAGGUGGGGAGCAGUAGAGUCUGGGUCUAACACAGCUGAUUGUGUUUAUUGGGUUUCUAAGGGUUCCCUGCUGCCAUACAAAGGCAAACUGGACCACUGGAUCGGCCUCUGGAAGGACACGGGCCGGGUCUGGAAAUGGCCCAACGGGACCGAGUUUGACCGUCGGUUUGAAAUACAAGGAGGAGCUGACUGUGCGCACCUGGAUGAAGACCUCAUAGUCACCACGUCAAGCUGCAGCACACCAAGAAAAUGGAUCUGCAGUAAACCUGAUACCCCUGGGAAGGGAGAGGAGCGAGCAGUGGGAGGGGAUUCAUGAACUCAAGGGAAUCGGAGACCAGCUGUGACAAAGCCUGGUUCUAGUCCCCUCCAUGGCACCUCCAUGCUGCAGCCUGGUUCCUUGUUUCUUAGUCUGUCUCCAGGGUUUGUCCAGUCCUAGUCGUCAAUUAUCCUAAUGCCGCGGUUUGUGACCCUUCUCUAGGGGAGACUGUCACCGUUUCAGGGUAACUGCAUCUCUAUCCCACCUCCAUCAGGUCAGGGCUUGAGUCUCCAGCCACCCCCUGUCUCUGGACAGAGACCCCGUCCCACUUCCUGACCGAGGCACUUAAAGCUGCACAGCUCCCUUCCAUACACCAUGAUAUCCCCAGCAAGCCAAUCUGUCUAAAAGCCAGCACCUGCACUUUGCUUUCUCUCUGAGCGCAAUGCCCAGCAUGUUCCCGCUGUUACAAGAUAGCACACGGCACUUUCUCAGCUGAUACAUUUAUUCUAGGGCAAAAGCGUUAUGGGGAAAAUGUAUAAAAAUUACUAAAAGUUCCCACACACUAAACACACCAGAACUCAUCCCUCUUCCACGGGGGAGUCUAGUAGCCAGUGACCCUUCCACGCGCUCCCUGUGGGGUUGGAGUCUUUCUCCCUCCCUGCCGAGAGCAG